rnacentral:rRNA from 1 species
AUACGGAGGAGGCUAGCGUUGUUCGGAAUUACUGGGCUUAAAGCGCGUGUAGGCGGAUGGGUAAGUGUCAAGUGAAAGCCCCCGGCUCAACCGGGGAACUGCUAGGCAAACUGCUCGUCUUGAGGCAGGUAGGGGUGCAUGGAACUCUAGGUGGAGCGGUGAAAUGCGUAGAUAUCUAGAGGAACGCCGGUGGCGAAAGCGGUGCACUGGGCCUGUUCUGACGCUGAGACGCGAAAGCGUAGGGAGCGAACGGGAUUAGAUACCCCAGUAGUCC